GCGCCGGUGGUGUAAGGCGUAGCAGUGCUACCCGGAAAGCAAAAGGUGCGGGUUCGAUUCCCGUCUGGCGCA
rnacentral:tRNA from 1 species